GUAAUAACGUUGCACGCGACUUUACGGGAUUCACGGACACAACGAAAAAUAUCUGUUCUAGGACAACGAGGACGGGCGCAGCCGCCGCCGCUCUUCCCCUAGGUAACCCGGCAGGGCCCGUCGAUUGGUUGAUGAGAAAUUUCGCAGCAACACGUUUACGUUAAGUCAACAUUGUUUACGGGAUUGUCAACGCGGGGUCUUCGCGUGUAAAACGAGGGAGCGGUAAGUCG